rnacentral:rRNA from 1 species
UACGGGGGGAGCAAGCGUUGUUCGGAUUUACUGGGCGUAAAGGGCGCGUAGGCGGUCAGCACAAGUCAGUUGUGAAAUCUCCGGGCUUAACUCGGAAAGGUCAACUGAUACUGUGCGACUAGAGUGCGGAAGGGGCAACUGGAAUUCUCGGUGUAGCGGUGAAAUGCGUAGAUAUCGAGAGGAACACCUGCGGCGAAGGCGGGUUGCUGGGCCGACACUGACGCUGAAGCGCGAAAGCCAGGGGGGCGAACGGG